CACCAUCCGGUAAGGCUAAAUACUCCUGAGAGACCGAUAGUGAACCAGUACCGUGAGGGAAAGGUGAAAAGUACCCUGAGUAAGGGGGUGAAAUAGUACCUGAAACCAUGCGCUUACAAGCGGUCGGAGUCCGCCUUUGGUCGGAUGACGGCGUGCCUUUUGCAUAAUGAGCCUACGAGUUGUCGUUGUUGGCAAGGUUAACCCGUUCAGCGGGGUAGCCGGAGCGAAAGCGAGUCUUAACAGGGCGUGUAGUCAGCAGUGGCAGACGCGAAACUUGGUGAUCUACCCAUGGGCAGGGUGAAGCUCCGUUAAUCCGGAGUGGAGGCCCGAACCAGUAUACGUUGAAAAGUAUUUGGAUGACCUGUGGGUAGGGGUGAAAGGCCAAUCAAACAGAGAGAUAGCUCGUACUCCCCGAAAUGCUUUUAGGAGCAGCGUAUGGGUUGAGUUUAUUAGAGGUAGAGCUACCAAUUGGACUAGGGGGAGUCACAUCCUACCAAAUCCAGAUGAACUCCGAAUGCUAAUAAAUAUACCAUACAGUGAGGGUUGGGGUGCUAAGGUCCCAAUCCGAGAGGGAAAGAACCCAGAUCUACAGCUAAGGUCCCAAAAUCUAUGUUAAGUUGAACUAAGGAGGUCCAGUUGCCCAGACAGCCAGGAUGUUGGCUUGGAAGCAGCCAUUCAUUCAAAGAGUGCGUAACAGCUCACUGGUCGAGCGACAGGGCAUCGA
rnacentral:rRNA from 1 species